GCCAGCCGCGACCGCCUCCACCUCUCUCUCCCUCAUUCCCUACCACCACACCGUGCAGCCUCAGAUUACAGGUAAGACCCCUACCACCACGCUGUGCAGCCUCGGAUUGAGCCUUACAGGGGCCAAGGAGCAGCAAUAGCUCUUCAUCAAAUCCGGAAUCCAAAACUAAAGACAAGUGUGCUGUAAUGUAAAGAAAGCAUUUGUAUAUGAUGUAUUUCCCUCCCAGUUUUGGCCAAUUUGUUGUAAUACAUGAUAAGAACAUCACCUAAGCAAUCAUCAUUUGUGUGAA